UUACGGCCACAUCAUGUUGGAAACACCGGUUCAGGCACAACCACCGAAGUUAAGCAACGUCGAGCCUGGUCAGUACCUAUAUUGGUGACCGCUGGGGAUACUUGGUGCUAUAA